rnacentral:piRNA from 1 species
UCAGAGAUUCUCAUUUUGGUCUACUGGGA